rnacentral:rRNA from 1 species
GAUGAACGCUGGCUACAGGCUUAACACAUGCAAGUCGAGGGGAAACGACGGGGAAGCUUGCUUCUCCGGGCGUCGACCGGCGCACGGGUGAGUAACGCGUAUCCAACCUGCCUCUGACUGAGGGAUAACCCGUCGCAAGUCGGCCUAAUACCUCAUGGCAUCGUCUGCGGGCUUCCAACGACGAUUAAAGUUUUCAUCGGUCAGGGAUGGGGAUGCGUCUGAUUAGCGUGUUGGCGAGGUAACAGCCCAGCAAGGCUACGAUCAGUAGGGGUUCGGAGAGGAAGGCACACUAGAAUGGAACUGAGACACGGUCCAAACUCCGACGGGGGGCAGCAGUAAGGAAUAUUAGGCAAUGGACGGGAGCCUGAACCAGCCAAGUAGGGUGCAGGAGGACGGCGCUAUGGGUUGUAAACUGCUUUUAUGCGGGGAUAGAGUGAGGGACGAGUCCUUCAUUGCAGGUACCGAAUGAAUAAGGACCGGCUAAUUACGUG